rnacentral:misc_RNA from 1 species
AAGUCGUAACAAGGUUUCUGUAGGUGAACCUGCAGAAGGAUCAUCAUCGAAAUUAUAUUAUACACCCCUUGUGAACUAUUAGUGUAGAGUCUGCUUGGCAGGAAGUCACUCUCGAGUGCGUCGGCCUUGCUUGCAGGGCGCAGUGCCUGCCAGCAGCCUCGUCUUUUAACAAACUUUUAAACUUUUACUGAUACAAAUAUAUUAAUAAAAACAACUUUCAACAAUGGAUCUCUUGGCUCUC